rnacentral:lncRNA from 1 species
AAGCCACACCGGGCUGUAGAAGUGUAGAUUCUGGGAAUUUCCUCGAGCUGGUCCACGGAGGAGAAAUUACGGGGGAGGGAGGAUGUAACCUAGGUCUAGUGAGUAGUGACAUUGAGGAGCAAACCUAGGUCUGACGGAGGAUCGAUCCCAAGUCCGGCGCCGUCCCGAGCGGGCGGCGACCGGGGAGCGGAGGCGUCGGGGGUGUGGAUGCGCGCCGGACCCGGUUACCGCUGCCGGGAAACGGAGGCGAGGCGGGCGUCGCCCUUGUGGGGGUGAAUCGAGGAUUCGAGGGAGGAAUGGAGGCGCGAGGCGAUGCGGAAAUGGGUUUUAAGGGGGAGUGGUUGGGGGAAAUGGGGUUUUGGGCACUGGUUUUCCUGCUAAUAAAUUAAAACAGUAAUGUUAAGGCACGGUCGUCAAGACGUGAUGGGACGCUUAGCCAUCUAUUUUCAUCCACUCAUUUCACUUUUCA